rnacentral:rRNA from 1 species
AUGUCGGCGGCGGUGGGCGGCGCCGAGUUCCACGGCUUCGGUGGCGCGGCGCAGCUCCCGCGGUCCCGGAUGCUCGGCAGGCCCGUCAGGGUGGCGCCGCCAGGGGCGACACCCGCCGGCAGCGGGCCCUCGGCGGCCAGCAUUCGCGCCGUCUCCACGCCUCUGAAGAAGGAUGCAAAAGAAGUUAAGCGAAGCAAGGUGGAGAUAAUCAAGGAGAAGAGCAAUUUCCUUCGGUACCCGCUGAACGAGGAGCUGGUCUCAGAGGCUCCCAAUGUCAACGAGACUGCUGUCCAGCUCAUCAAGUUCCACGGAAGCUACCAGCAGAGCGACCGGGAAGUUCGUGGGCAGAAGAACUACUCGUUCAUGCUCCGGACAAAGAAUCCUUCCGGAAAAGUUCCGAACCAGACUUACUUGGCCAUGGAUACACUGGCCGAUGAGUUCGGGAUCGGAACGCUCCGUCUGACAACCAGGCAAACAUUUCAGCUGCACGGCGUUCUUAAGAAGAACUUGAAGCAUGUCAUCAGCACUGUGAUAAAGAAUAUGGGAUCAACCUUAGGUGCCUGUGGAGACCUCAACAGGAAUGUGCUUGCGCCUGCGGCGCCAUAUGUGAGAAAGGAUAUCCUUUUUGCCCAAGAAACUGCUGAGAAUAUUGCGGCACUUCUUGCGCCACAGUCGGGGGCUUAUUAUGAUCUGUGGGUGGAUGGAGAGAAGAUAAUGUCAGCGGAAGAGCCUCCUGAGGUCACCAAAGCCCGGAAUGACAACUCACAUGGAACAAACUUCCCUGAUUCCCCUGAACCAAUCUACGGGACCCAGUAUCUGCCCAGGAAGUUCAAGAUUGCGGUCACAGUUGCUGGUGAUAACUCUGUUGAUAUUCUGACCAAUGACAUCGGUGUUGUUGUUGUUUCAGAUAGUGCUGGGGAGCCUGUUGGCUUUAACCUCUAUGUUGGAGGUGGCAUGGGAAGGACACACCGAAUAGAAACCACAUUCCCUCGUCUGGCUGAUCCACUUGGAUAUGUUCCUAAGGAGGAUAUAUUAUAUGCUAUAAAGGCAAUCGUUGUCACUCAGAGGGAGAAUGGAAGAAGAGACGACCGCAGGUAUAGCAGAAUGAAGUAUCUGCUUGACAGCUGGGGUAUUGACAAGUUCCGGGCUGAGGUUGAAAAAUACUAUGGAAAGAAGUUUGAAGAUUUUCAUCCAUUGCCAGAAUGGCAAUUCAACAGCUACCUUGGCUGGCAGGAACAGGGCGAUGGUAAAUUAUUCUAUGGAGUGCAUGUUGAUAACGGUCGUCUUGGGGGGCAAGCAAAGAAAACUCUGCGAGAGAUAAUUGAGAAGUAUAGCUUGGAUGUUAGUAUUACUCCAAACCAGAAUCUUAUCUUAUGUGGGGUUGAUCAGGCAUGGAGAGAACCCAUAACUGCAGCUCUUGCUCAAGCUGGCCUGUUGGAACCAAAGGACGUUGAUCUCCUGAACAUAACCUCCAUGGCAUGCCCUGCCUUACCUCUGUGCCCUCUAGCACAAACAGAAGCUGAGCGAGGGAUCCUACCGAUACUUAAACGAAUUAGAGCAGUUUUCGACAAGGUUGGCAUCAAGGAUGAGGAGUCUGUAGUGGUGAGGAUAACUGGCUGCCCCAAUGGAUGCGCCAGACCAUACAUGGCAGAGGUUGGCUUUGUUGGUGAUGGCCCAAACAGUUACCAGAUUUGGCUUGGAGGAACACCAAACCAGACCACGUUGGCAGAAACGUUUAUGAACAAAGUGAAGCUACAAGAUAUCGAGAAGGUUUUGGAACCACUGUUCUCCUACUGGAAUAGCACACGCCAGGAAGGCGAAUCUUUUGGGAGCUUCACAAACCGAAUGGGAUUUGAGCAACUGAAGGAGGUGGUGAACAAGUGGGAGGGGUCAGCGUCAGCCGCAUGA